UACAGAGGUCUCGAGCGUUGUUCGGAAUUAUUGGGCGUAAAGGGCGCGUAGGCGGCUUGGCAAGUGGAUGGUGAAAUCCCUCGGCUUAACCGAGGAACGGCCGUCCAAACUGCUUCGCUUGAGACCGGGAGAGGUGAGUGGAAUUCCCAGUGUAGCGGUGAAAUGCGUAGAUAUUGGGAGGAACACCAGUGGCGAAGGCGGCUCACUGGACCGGUACUGACGCUGAAGCGCGAAAGCGUGGGGAGCAAACGGG
rnacentral:rRNA from 1 species